GUGGGGAAUUUUGGACAAUGGGCGCAAGCCUGAUCCAGCCAUACCGCGUGGGUGAAGAAGGCCUUCGGGUUGUAAAGCCCUUUUGUUGGGAAAGAAAUCCUGUCGGUUAAUACCUGGCGGGGAUGACGGUACCCAAAGAAUAAGCACCGGCUAACUUCGUGCCAGCAGCCGCGGUAAUACGAAGGGUGCAAGCGUUACUCGGAAUUACUGGGCGUAAAGCGUGCGUAGGUGGUGGUUUAAGUCCGUUGUGAAAGCCCUGGGCUCAACCUGGGAAUUGCAGUGGAUACUGGAUCACUAGAGUGUGGUAGAGGGAUGCGGAAUUUCUGGUGUAGCAGUGAAAUGCGUAGAGAUCAGAAGGAACAUCCGUGGCGAAGGCGGCAUCCUGGGCCAACACUGACACUGAGGCACGAAAGCGUGGGGAGCAAACAGGAUUAGAUACCCUGGUAGUCC
rnacentral:rRNA from 1 species